rnacentral:rRNA from 1 species
UCAAGCGUUUAAGGGCGAUUGGCGGAUGCCUUGGCACUGUAAGACGAUGAAGGACGUGGUAUACUGCGAUAAGUUUCGGGGAGCUGUAUGCAGGCUUUGAUCCGAAAAUUUCCGAAUGGGGAAACCCAACACUUCGUGUGUUACUUUAUACUGAAUUCAUAGGUAUAAAGAGUGAACCUGGAGAACUGAAACAUCUAAGUAACCAGAGGAAAAGAAAUCAAUUGAGACUCCGUGAGUAGUGGCGAGCGAAAGCGGACUAGGCCAGCAACUUAGUUUAGACAAUUUGAAUAGUUUGGAAAAACUAACCACAGAGGGUGAUAGUCCCGUAAAAGUAAUGCUAAUCUAAGUUCUUGAGUAGAGCGGGACACGUGAAAUCUUGCUUGAAUUUUGGGGGACCACCCUCUAAGCCUAAGUACUCUACAGUGACCGAUAGUGAACUAGUACCGUGAGGGAAAGGUGAAAAGAACCCCUAUUAGGGGAGUGAAAUAGAACCUGAAACCGCAUGCCUACAAUCAGUCGAAGCUCUUUUUAGAGUGACGGCGUACCUUUUGUAUAAUGGGUCAGUGACUUAAUUUGUAUAGCAAGCUUAAGCCGAUUAGGUGGAGGCGCAGCGAAAGCGAGUCUUAAUAGGGCGUUUAGUUAUAUGAAUUAGACCCGAAAACGAAUGAGCUUACCAUGAGCAGGUUGAAAGUUGGGUAACACCAACCGGAGGACCGAACCAGUUGACGUUGAAAAGUCUUUGGAUGACUUGUGGUAAGGGGUGAAAGGCCAACCAAAUUCGUAGAUAGCUGGUUUUCCGCGAAAACUAUUUAGGUAGUGCGUUGAAUAAACAUACUUUUGGAGGUAGAGCACUAAACGGGCUAGGGGGGAGAAAUCCCUACCAAACCUGAUAAAACUCCGAAUGCCAAACAUAAUUCCUCAACAGACAGACUGUGGGUGCUAAGGUCCAUGGUCGAGAGGGGAACAGCCCAGAUCACCAGAUAAGGUCCCUAAAUCAUGAUUAAGUGUGAAAGGAUGUGGAGAUUCCUUAACAGCCGGGAGGUUGGCUUAGAAGCAGCCAUCCUUUAAAGAUAGCGUAACAGCUCACCGGUCUAAUAGAGUUUCUGCGCCUAAGAUGUAACGGGGCUCAAAUCAUGUACCGAAUCUGUGGGUGUAUAAAGUUUUCGAAUUUUAUACGCGGUAGCGGAACGUUCUGUAAGCCUGCGAAGGGAUACCCGCGAGGGAUCCUGGAGGUAUCAGAAGUGCGAAUGCUGACAUAAGUAACGAUAAACGAAGUGAAAAACUUCGUCGCCGAAAAUCUAAGGGUUUCUGCGCAAGGUUAAUCCGCGCAGAGUUAGUCGGCUCCUAAGGCGAGGGCGAAAGCCGUAGUCGAUGGAAAUAAGGUUAAUAUUCCUUAACCAGAUGGUAGUGACGGAUUUUGUAAGUUGUGAGUUCUUAAUGGAUUGAACUUGCUGCGAAAAAGUCCCAGGAAAUAGCUCCAUCAUUAGACCGUACCCUAAACCGACACAGGUGGAUUAAUAGAGUAUAUUUAGGCGCUUGAGAGAAUGAUGUUGAAGGAACUCGGCAAAAUGCUUCUGUAACUUCGGAAUAAAGAAGACCUUUUUUUGGGCAACCAUUAAAAGGUGGCACAAGCCAGGGAGAAGCGACUGUUUAUCAAAAACACAGGGCUCUGCUAACACGUAAGUGGAUGUAUAGGGUCUGACGCCUGCCCGGUGCUGGAAGGUUAAUGCGAUGGGUGCAAGCUCAUUUCUGAAGCCCCAGUGAACGGCGGCCGUAACUAUAACGGUCCUAAGGUAGCGAAAUUCCUUGUCGGGUAAG